GGGCUUUGUUGCACCUCUGCUGUGGCAGCCCAAAGUAGGUGGAUGAAUCUGGCUGAUAACUUAGCAACACUCACUCUCACAAAGGAAGACUGCCAAUGGACGAGCAAGUAUGAGCAAGAGCUGGGAUUCUGUCUCUGGACAAGAGGCAGGUUCAGGCAGCGUGGGGGCCAAGCUCUCUCAGGAACCAUUCUUUUAACUGCCUCACCAAUAACAUGUGUCUCCCACACCUGAGAGGGUAGGCUACUAUUGUCAUUAAAUUAAAUUCUCACUGUUUUAG
rnacentral:lncRNA from 1 species